rnacentral:lncRNA from 1 species
UUUGGUGGCUUAAAAUUCUCUCGUCUUCCAUUUUAUUUCCUCUUAUUUCAUGUGACUAUGGUGGUGUUGUUUUAGCUUUCUUUGCCGACUGUACUGCCAAACGUUCAGCUUUUUAAGCCGUUAAGAUGAGAAUCACUUUGGUGAAAAUCGUUCAGAAUCAACGUGAACAGAAAAUCAGUCGUGUCAUCGGGAUAGGAGCAAUCGUCGCUUUCUAUAUCUUAAACACUAUGGACCACUUCACCUUACUUCGUAUAUAAUCCCCACGAUACUUAGAUUCUCUCCGCAACCAGAUUCUGUCCAUAACCAGAACGAUUCUAAAAAAAACUCAUAAUAAAAAAGCCGAACAUCAAACGGGCUGUAGCUAGGUUGUGUAGUUUCCGUACAGUCCAUAUUCACAUACCAUAUGUUUGGUUUCCCCGAUGCAGACGUGUAGCCCCAUCCAAACCUACAUGGUGGGAUACGGGACCUUACCCACAUCUCCGCGGUGCAACCCAUGUCUCCUAAAAUGGCUUUCUUUGUAUCCGUGUGCGCAGUUCAGAGCUCCAUCAUACAACCAACCAUGCAGGUGCACUUCCUCGGUCAACGGAUGACACAGACCUAGACGCGUACAUCUAAGAAACCAAAUACACGGAUAUAGUUAGCGAGCUUCAUAAAUUCGUUACCCAGAUCUCUCACAAAAAUUCAAAUAUUUAGUCGACUUAUAAAUUUAAACUUUGGAUCAUUUUGUACCAUAAUUACAUCGCUACAAAAAAUCAAGAAACUUUCUUUGGUCAUAUUAAUUUUCUGCGCUUUCCAAUAAUGACGCCGAAAAUUAUUCGGUUGAACCUCUUUUGAAAACCGGUUGAACCUCUUUGGCAGACCUGUCAGUCAGUCUUGCCAGUCUGGCUGACAGAUUGUUGUGCAGUCUAGCCAAGUUGACCAAACCGAUUGAACCGCCCUGGGGGCGAUUGAACCGCCCCUAACGACUCUGUCGACCUGUACGCCAGUCUGACUGGCAGAUUGUUGGUCAGACGUCAGAGGGGUCAGAGACCAGUUGAACUGCCCCGAAAAACGAGUUCAACUGGUCUUGACCAGAAAGUUCAGGAGAGAAAACCCUAGUUCAACUACCCAGAGGCAAGUUCAACUGGUGUAUGGUCAGAGAGGUUCACAGUUGAAGUUGAAGUUCAGCUGGAGUUGAGAAAGCUCAGCUAGAGUUGAAAAAGCUCAACUACAGCUGAAGAAGCUCAACUCAGCUGAAGUUUAGUUCAGCUGAAAAGCUCAACUGCAGCUGAAGAAGUGCAGCUGUUUUUCAACAAGAACACUCCCAGUUUCUCAAACCUAACCACUGUCAACCAUAAAACGUUCAAGAGAUUUUUGGUUUUCAAAAAUAGCUUCUGAAUAUAGAUGCUUGAGCUUUGGCAAACACCAACCUUCUUUUUGGAUCCCUUUAUAGUACGAUGAUUCCUAUACCCAAGUUAAAUAAAAUAUAAUUAACUAAACUCCUUGAGUAAUUGGCGCCUCAUGUGUGAUUUCUCCAUGGCGUUGCUUCAUAAGGAUCACAAACAUCUUUGUCUCACCUUUUGAAGCAAACACAACUCAAACCUUGUGACUUAUACCAUAUCACCAUAUAUGAGUUUAAAUCAUGGCUUCAAGUCACCGUACUGAUGCAUCAACAUGUUAUAACUCUUCAUAGCUGAUUAGUUCAUCGACUUAUAGUGCAAGUACUCUCUUCUUCACCUUAGCCAUAGUACCUCGGUCCACAAGCCGUCGCUUGGCCUCCACCUUCGCUUAGUUCCUCGAAGCCCUUUCCUUGCUAUCUUCACCCUAUCAAGCCAUUCUUGAGUCACAUCAUAUUGAGCAUCCAUUGAGAGAAUCAUUUCUUCAAUAUUGUGAACCUUGCUUGAAUGUCUUCUAGAUAUAACCGUUAAGAUCAAUCAAGCUCUAGUUUGAUUCUCAUAGAAGCAUAUAUGAACUGAUAGUAAUAUGGUCAAGCCAAUUCACGAUUCCUCAUAUCUUAUUCACUUUGGCUUGACCAAUCCUCUUAAUCACUUCAUCCUCUAUUCUGACCAUAUGUAUGUAGUGAUUUCUCAGGCCUUGUCCAUAUAUUCAAACAAUAUAGAGAUCAUAUUAUAUCCAUUUUCAUUGUCUCAUUGGUUAUUUAACCUCGUAUUGAACCUUUGUUCACUGAUCAUUAUACACUAUUCAAGUAUGUUCAUCAUACUGAAUUUCUUGUUCAACACUUAGCAAACUCGUUAGACCUUUAAAUAUGUUGUUAUCUAAAUCACCAAAACUCACAAAAGGGAUGAAUGCACUUUCAGCGUGAUAUCGGCCGCCCGAUUAGCAGCCAACGGCGUAGAUUAGUUCUCUACUCAAAACAAACCGGUAUCUCACAAGCACCCUCGGAUCUGCAUCCAACGGCCCACGGCCGAUACGCGGGUUGGAACGUGGGGCCGGAUCUAACCGUCAGUUACCAACGGACGGUCCCGAUCCGAAGUCGUCCUAUUGCCGUCCAAUCUCUAAUCCCGGUCGUCCAAACAGGAUCCAACGAUCCCAACAUCGUCAUCUACCUCCCGUUGCGAAUUCACCCGGUAGGCCCUGACCGCGACAUCGCCGAUGACGGGCAAUGACCUGCCACGCCGGCGAGCUAGCGACUAACUGUCCCUGGUUAUGGAUUGGGGCGCGGGUAACUUCCUAUGCAUAAUGCAAACGAAGACGAACUAUAGGGACUUGCCCUUACCAGCGUUUAGAGGCUGCUCCCAGAGAAUGACUGCGCGACGGUGUUCUUUCAAGGCGAGUUCCGGCGCCCAAACCUGAUGCCGCAGAGGACGCCGCCCACGGUACGGGGAGCGCCGCAGUCGCCACGGGCGUCGAGAACCCGGGCGAACUCCUCCCCGGCACUCCAAGUUUGCUCUCUAUUUCUCUCCUCGACGGGUAACAUCGCGUUUCUUUCUCUC